rnacentral:rRNA from 1 species
UCCACGCCGUAAACGAUGUCAACUAGCCGUUGGGACCUUGAGGUCUCAGUGGUGCAGCUAACGCGUGAAGUUGACCGCCUGGGGAGUACGGCCGCAAGGCUAAAACUCAAAUGAAUUGACGGGGGCCCGCACAAGCGGUGGAGCAUGUGGUUUAAUUCGAUGCAACGCGAAGAACCUUACCUACCCUUGACAUUGACAGAACCUCGUAGAGAUACUUGGGUG